rnacentral:rRNA from 1 species
UACGAAGGGGGCUAGCGUUGCUCGGAUUGACUGGGCGUAAAGGGCGCGUAGGCGGUUCGUACAGUCAGACGUGAAAUUCCUGGGCUCAACCUGGGGGCUGCGUUUGAUACGUGCGGGCUUGAGUGCGGAAGAGGGUCGUGGAAUUCCCAGUGUAGAGGUGAAAUUCGUGGAUAUUGGGAAGAACACCGGUGGCGAAGGCGGCGACCUGGUCCGAUACUGACGCUGAGGCGCGAAAGCGUGGGGAGCAAACAGG